rnacentral:rRNA from 1 species
GACGAACGCUGGCGGCGUGCUUAACACAUGCAAGUCGAACGGAAAGGCCCUGCUUUUGUGGGGUGCUCGAGUGGCGAACGGGUGAGUAACACGUGAGUAACCUGCCCUUGACUUUGGGAUAACUUCAGGAAACUGGGGCUAAUACCGGAUAGGAGCUCCUGCUGCAUGGUGGGGGUUGGAAAGUUUCGGCGGUUGGGGAUGGACUCGCGGCUUAUCAGCUUGUUGGUGGGGUAGUGGCUUACCAAGGCUUUGACGGGUAGCCGGCCUGAGAGGGUGACCGGCCACAUUGGGACUGGAAUACGGCCCAGACUCCUACGGGAGGCAGCAGUGGGGAAUAUUGCACAACGGGCGGAAGCCUGAUGCAGCAACGCCGCGUGCGGGAUGACGGCCUUCGGGUUGUAAACCGCUUUCGCCUGUGACGAAGCGUGAGUGACGGUAAUGGGUAAAGAAGCACCGGCUAACUACGUG